rnacentral:rRNA from 1 species
UGGCGGCAUGCCUUACACAUGCAAGUCGAACGGCAGCACGGGAGCAAUCCUGGUGGCGAGUGGCGAACGGGUGAGUAACAUAUCGGAACGUGCCCAGUGAUGGGGGAUAGCCCGGCGAAAGCCGGAUUAAUACCGCAUACGACCUACGGGUGAAAGCAGGGGAUCGCAAGACCUUGCGUCAUUGGAGCGGCCGAUAUCAGAUUAGCUUGUUGGUGGGGUAAGAGCCCACCAAGGCGACGAUCUGUAGCUGGUCUGAGAGGACGACCAGCCACACUGGGACUGAGACACGGCCCAGACUCCUACGGGAGGCAGCAGUGGGGAAUUUUGGACAAUGGGCGCAAGNCUGAUCCAGCCAUGCCGCGUGCGGGAAGAAGGCCUUCGGGUUGUAAACCGC